CCAUGGGCAGGUUGAAGGUUGGGUAACACUAACUGGAGGACCGAACCGACUAAUGUUGAAAAAUUAGCGGAUGACCUGUGGCUGGGGGUGAAAGGCCAAUCAAACCGGGAGAUAGCUGGUUCUCCCCGAAAGCUAUUUAGGUAGCGCCUCGUGAAUUCAUCUCCGGGGGUAGAGCACUGUUUCGGCUAGGGGGCCAUCCCGGCUUACCAACCCGAUGCAAACUGCGAAUACCGGAGAAUGUUAUCACGGGAGACACACGGCGGGUGCUAACGUCCGUCGUGAAGAGGGAAACAACCCAGACCGCCAGCUAAGGUCCCAAAGUCAUGGUUAAGUGGGAAACGAUGUGGGAAGGCCCAGACAGCCAGGAUGUUGGCUUAGAAGCAGCCAUCAUUUAAAGAAAGCGUAAUAGCUCACUGGUCGAGUCGGCCUGCGCGGAAGAUGUAACGGGGCUAAACCAUGCACCGAAGCUGCGGCAGCGAACGUAUCACCCAAGACAACUUUACGGAGUUGACGAUUGACGGAGCGAAGCGACGUCAAAGCGUUCAUUAAAGUCGAGUUGGCUUAGGGAUACGUUCGUUGGGUAGGGGAGCGUUCUGUAAGCCUGUGAAGGUGUGUCGUGAGGCAUGCUGGAGGUAUCAGAAGUGCGAAUGCUGACAUAAGUAACGAUAAAGCGGGUGAAAAGCCCGCUCGCCGGAAGACCAAGGGUUCCUGUCCAACGUUAAUCGGGGCAGGGUGAGUCGACCCCUAAGGCGAGGCCGAAAGGCGUAGUCGAUGGGAAACGGGUUAAUAUUCCCGUACUUGGUGUUACUGCGAAGGGGGGACGGAGAAGGCUAUGUUGGCCGGGCGACGGUUGUCCCGGUUUAAGCGUGUAGGUGUGUGUUCCAGGUAAAUCCGGUUCACUUUAACACUGAGGCGUGACGACGAGGCACUACGGUGCUGAAGCAACAAAUGCCCUGCUUCCAGGAAAAGCCUCUAAGCAUCAGGUAACAUCAAAUCGUACCCCAAACCGACACAGGUGGUCAGGUAGAGA
rnacentral:rRNA from 1 species